rnacentral:misc_RNA from 1 species
UUUCCGUAGGUGAACCCGCGGAAGGAUCAUUACAGAGUUCAUGCCCUCACGGGUAGAUCUCCCACCCUUGAAUAUUUAUACCUUAGUUGCUUUGGCAGGCCGUGGAAACACCAUGGGCUCCGGCUUAUGCGUGCCUGCCAGAGGAAGCAAGCUCUGUUUUUAGUGAUGUCUGAGUACUAUAUAAUAGUUAAAACUUUCAACAACGGAUCUCUUGGUUCUG